GCAUGGCGAUGGGCGACCGACCCGCUCCUCGCAAACCGUGCCGGAACCUAUCCCCUCCCGGCGGCGGCAUGAGAGACUAGACUUUCGCCCAGAUGCUCGACGCAUCUGGGCGUUUUUCU
rnacentral:sRNA from 1 species